UGGAGACCUGUUGCUUCUUAGUAGUCGGCAGAGAAGGACCUACUGGACACAAUGUGGUGGAGGUUUUCAUCAUUCUCAAAGCAGGUGAAGAAACACCCUGGAUUGGUGCCUUUGCUUGGUUUCACAGCGUUGGGUAUAACCAAUGCAACCAUCUACCUGAUGAAGGCUGCCCUCACCAACAAAGAUAUAAGUUGGGUAAAGAAGGAAGAACCUGAACCUUGGUAUAAAUGAGGUCCAGACCUCCAGACGAAAGGAUCUGAAAAUUGAUGUUGAAGAAGAUCCAGGGCCACUGAUCCAGAACCACUGCACAGAAUGAUGUUAUUCCACUUUCUACUACAUGAAAUCACUGCUAUCACUUAUUGCUCCAGCAGUAAUACCUUUACUUUAUUCACUUCGUUCUGGGUUUAGACUUUAUUUCAUGACAGUUCUUGUUCUAGAACAUUGCUUCAUUUGGGAUUGUUCCCUGAUUACAAAAUGCAGUACAGUUUGGGGAAAUAAUGCCGGAGCAUAUCACAAUAGCACCGCCGCAGCAUGGCUGACUUAGGCUGGGUUCACAUCAUGUUUUUGCAAUACAGUUUCCGUAUCAGGUUUUUGAUGAAAAACGGAUUCCUCAAAACCGGACUAAACUGUAUCAAAACCUGUGUACAAAUUUUAACCCAUAUAUGGUUUUUAAAAAUGAUUUCCAGUUGCAUUCGUUUUUAAGAAAAAGAACGUAUAUGUUUUUAACUUUUCACUCCAUUAUGAAUAAAGUUUCAUUUGUUUGAUUGAAAUUCCAAGAAAAAAAACUUGCGGUCUCAAAAACCGUAUGGUGCAAACCAGAUGGAACCGUACGCACAUACGGUUCUGUACAGUUCCCAUUGACUCCCAUGUUUAGAAAAAAAAAAACAUAUACGGUUUCCAUACAGUUUUUCACCCGUACCAAAAACCAUGGUAGGCUACGAUUUUGAGUACAGGAAAAAACGGAGAAAACCGUACAAGAUGCACAACGGGCAAAACCAGAUGCAUCUUUUUCAAUGGAGAAUCAAUGCAUACGGUUUUCAAUAUGGUUCCAUACGGUUUUCACAUUGAAAACGUACAUGGGAACUGUAUUGCAAAUACGUGGUGUGAACCCAGCCUAACUCUGUGUCCUAUCAAUGGGCUGGAUGAGGAAAGCAGUAGUGCAGUCUAUAAGCUCCUAUACAAUGAUUACUGUAAAUAAUUCCUCCUUACAGGUCAAUCAGCUCUAUCCUAUACUUGUGUGACAUUUAGGUAAUUUCUGCUCAAAAUUUGUAAAGAAAAUAGGGGGAACAUUAUUAGUGCAGUCAGUGUAUAUCUAUGCAAUGUCAAGAGUUGUUAUGUCUCCACUCAACAUUUAAAAUCAUUUAAUUCAAUCUUUUAUAGGCAUCCAAAAAAUGAAAUAACACAGCAUUUCCAGUGCAGUUUGACUUGGCAUUUUCUUAAGAUUUUCGACUCACUAUCUAUUGACCUCAAUGAUAACAUAGAAACAUAGAAUGUGUCGGCAGAUAAGAGCCAUUUGGCCAAUCUAGUCUCCCCAAUAUUCUGAAUACCAAUUUUUUUUAAGACCGAGUACGAGUACCGAUACUUUUUCUUAAGUACUCGCCAAUACCAAUUACCAAUACUUUUUUCAAUGUCAUGUGACAGGGUUUUUUUUUCCUUAAAUGGGAAAAAGGUGUGUUGUUUUUAGUUUUCAUAAGAGAAAGUGCUUUUUUUAUAUAAAAAAUAUAUAUAUAUUUUAUUUUAUUUAAACAUUUUUGAAAAGGGGGGUGAUUACAUUUUUUUAUUUGGAAGGGGUUAAUUCACAGUCAUUAUUUAUUUUUAUUGUUUUUACUGUUUUAGUCCCCAUAGAGGACUAUUACAUGCAAGCAUAGUGUUGAUCAGUGUUAUCGUCCCUCCUUUACUACUGCCUGCCAUGGCUGGCAGCAGUAAAGUAGCAAUGAUCGGACGCACGGAGCAGGGUAAGGGAUCUCCGGCCAUCCUCUCAGCGGAUCGGGACACCGUGAUUACACCGCAAUGAUCCUGAUCAGCAUCUUUGAGCAGUUAAUCUCAGAACUUUUAGAUGCCGCAAUCAACUUUGAUCGUGGCAUCUAAAGGGUUAAUGCGGGUCCAGGCUAUGAUGUGCACUCAGCUGCUGAGUGCACUGCAAAGCUCGAGACCAGAUAAAGCAGGCAGCUUACUGCACCUCAGUGAUACCUGCCGGCGAGACUCCUGCUGGCAGGUAACAUAUUAGGUAUUGGGGACAUUUACAAGUACUCAUGCAAAUGUCCAUUAUCGGUCCUGACACUGCUACCAGUAUCGGUAUCGGGACAUCCCUACCUUAUGCCUAUCCCUAUCUUAUAUGAAGGAUAGCCUUAUGCCUAUCCCAUGCAUG